rnacentral:rRNA from 1 species
GAUGAACGCUGGCGGCGUGCCUAAUACAUGCAAGUCGAGCGAACAGACGAGGAGCUUGCUCCUCUGACGUUAGCGGCGGACGGGUGAGUAACACGUGGAUAACCUACCUAUAAGACUGGGAUAACUUCGGGAAACCGGAGCUAAUACCGGAUAAUAUAUUGAACCGCAUGGUUCAAUAGUGAAAGACGGUUUUGCUGUCACUUAUAGAUGGAUCCGCGCCGCAUUAGCUAGUUGGUAAGGUAACGGCUUACCAAGGCAACGAUGCGUAGCCGACCUGAGAGGGUGAUCGGCCACACGGGAACGGAGACACGGUCCAGACUCCUACGGGAGGCAGCAGUAGGGAAUCGUCCGCAAUGGGCGAAAGCCUGACGGAGCAACGCCGCGUGAGUGAUGAAGGUCUUCGGAUCGUAAAACUCUGUUAUUAGGGAAGAACAAAUGUGUAAGUAACUAUGCACGUCUUGACGGUACCUAAUCAGAAAGCCACGGCUAACUACGUG